AAGCGCUUGUGACCAGACUUGCACCCUGUGGAUCACCCAGUGUUCUCGCUGGGGUACUCUGCUAGGUUCAGGCCAGCAUCGGUUUUCUUAGGGGGAUAAAAGCAGUGGGAACGUAGCUCUUUCGGGAGUGUUAUAGCUCGCUGCAGAAUACCCCUCGGGGGACCGAGGUUCGCGCUCUGCAAGGAUGCUGGCAUAAUGGUCAUCAGCG
rnacentral:rRNA from 1 species